rnacentral:antisense_RNA from 1 species
CUCUUCAAGUGGCCUGGGAGCGCGCGCAUGCGCGCUGCUGGGAACCGGCCGGGGUGCCGGGUCCAAAGACAGACGCGCGGGCCGGGCGUGCGCGGGCUUGGUGGAGGGCGGGAAGGCUGAAGGGCGGUGACAGGUCGCACUGCCUCGCGAGGGCCAGAACGCCCAUUUCUGCAGAGGUGCACUCAGUGGCGUGGGAAAUCAAAUGCAUCCGGUUAUCCCAGUUCGGCCUCUCUGGGAUUCCGCGGGAGGGGGUGUCUGGUCUGGUUUGGUUUGGUUUGGUUCAAAGUAGCGCAGUCUGACUGAGCGGGAGGUGGAGUGGAAGGCGAGAAUAGGGGUGAAGGAUUAGACAGAAGAAGACUUUGAACUAGGAACAGUGGCAACCAGGGUGACCCAGGCUUUUGUGACCCGUAGAGGCAGAGGCUGCCUUAAUCCAUGUUCCCUUCGGGAUGCUGGUAUCCAACUGAGAAGUUUACGGAGCAUCUAUCGUGUGCCAGACACUGUGCUAAGUGCUAACGAGAAAUCGGUGAGCAAAACAGAAAAGAAAAAAAAAGAAGAAACGACUGCCAGCAUUAAACUUAGUACCUAGCAAAGUAGAUGGACAUAAAUCAAAUUGUCAGACAAGUAAAUGAGUAGUUGCAGCUGUGAUAAGGGGUAUGAAGAAUAGGCGCUUCCAUGAUGGCAGAACAUGACCUAGUCUGGGGUGGAGAAGGGGAGAUGAUUCCAGCUGGAAUAUGGCAGGUGAGAGUUAACUAAUAGCACUGAGUUGGCAGAGGCAGGAUGACCUGCCCCAGGCAGGUGCCCCAGAAUGAGAGGAUGUUGCUGCUGGUGGAACUCCAGCUUUAAAGCAGUGGAUCUAGGGCCACAUUCCUCAAGGCCAUAGCAAACAGGAAAGACCUUUUGGACUAGGGUCUUUGGAGUAGUCACAUGAGGCCAAGACCCCAAUAGGGCUGAAAGAGAAUCUCAUCAUAGGCUGAAUGGGAGCAGAGCAUUAGCUGCAACUCCAAUGUAUUAUAGUAAAAGGGGACACAUUGAUUAGAAUGAUUAUACCCCUCCAAGUGUAAGCUGUUCAAUUUACCCAGGGCUUAAAAAUAUGUCAACUCUUCACAACCAUUUUUACUACAAGCCACACUCAACCUGUGUUGUUCCCUGAACCUGUGAUGCACUUUCAUCCGUUCAUGUCUCUACACAUCCUUCCUGGGCCCCAUAGAGGCCCUGCACCUUAAGGUUUUCAGCUGGAUUCCUAUUAGCUAGUUAUUUUAUCUCAGGUACAGAGAGUUAACUUUGCUCCUCAAUUUUCAGCACAUUGUCAUACCAGUCCCUACAAGGUCCUUGUUUACAUUAUUUUAUAGUGUUUAUAUUAUUUUUUCCUCAUCUUUCUCGAUCCCCACUCUCAUUCUUCUAGACACAAGCUGCAAUAUGUUCGAUAGAGAUCCUUGAUAAUUUAACACAGAUAAUGUUUUGUUUAUGCCUCUUGCAUUUACAGAGAUGGUAUUGGACUGUAAAUCUCUAUUUCCCACUGUUUUACUCAACACUCUGUUUUUGAGCUAUACCCACAUUGCUGUGUGUACACCUAGUUUGCUACCGAGUAUGCCAGAAAUUUUAUUCAUACAUAUCCCUACUGAUCGGGCAUCUAGGUUACUGCCAACUCCCUGAAGUCAUACUGUGGUGAAAACCCUUGUGAAUGUCUUUACAAACCUUUGCCAGAACUUAUUUUGUGCUCUUGUAGAACUUUGUGCAUACCCUCUGCUUCCUCAUUACACUGCUUGGCAUAUAGCAGAGACUCAACAAAUGUUGAAUACCUCUACUAUGAUGGUUAGUGUACUAGAAUAAUUUAUUUAUAUUUCUGUUUUCCUUAUUGGAUUAUUAGUACCUUCCAGACAGGGCAAAUGUCUUUUCUAUCUUUGUGUCCCUGGCACAUUAAAAGUGGUUGAUUUCAAGGUAUGUUCAAUGAAUGAAUAAAUACUUAUCUUCACUGCCAGUAC